rnacentral:rRNA from 1 species
UACGUAGGCAGCAAGCGUUGUUCGGAAUUACUGGGCGUAAAGAGUGUGUAGGCGGUGCUCUAAGUCUGUCGUGAAAUCUCCCGGCUUAACUGGGAGGGUGCGCCGGAAACUGGAGUGCUCGAGCGUGGGAGAGGAAAGCGGAAUUCCUGGUGUAGCGGUGAAAUGCGUAGAUAUCAGGAGGAACACCUGCGGUGUAGACGGCUUUCUGGACCAUUGCUGACGCUGAGACACGAAAGCGUGGGUAGCAAACAGG